rnacentral:rRNA from 1 species
AAUGAACGUUGGCGGCGUGGAUUAGGCAUGCAAGUCGAGCGCGAUAUGUAGCAAUACAUGGAGAGCGGCGAAAGGGAGAGUAAUACGUAGGUAUCUACCCUCGGGUCUGGGAUAGCAGCGGGAAACUGCUGGUAAUACCAGAUAACGUCUCCGGACCAAAGGUGUGAUUCCACCUGAGGAGGAGCCUACGGCCUAUUAGCUAGUUGGUAGGGUAACGGCCUACCAAGGCAAAGAUGGGUAUGGGGUGUGAGAGCAUGCCCCCACUCACUGGGACUGAGACACUGCCCAGACACCUACGGGUGGCUGCAGUCGAGAAUCUUCGGCAAUGGGCGAAAGCCUGACCGAGCGACGCCGCGUGCGGGAUGAAGGCCUUCGGGUUGUAAACCGCUGUCGUAGUGGAGGAAAUGUAGGAGAGUUAUCUCUUUUACUUGACUAAUACUAGGAAGAAGGACCGGCUAAUCUCGUGUCAGCAGCCGCGGUAAAAC